UUGAACUGCUCACGUAAGAAGCUUCGGUGAAUCUUUUCACUUUCUAGUUGUUCCUUAGCUAGAAGGUCCUUACACUCCUUGAGAGUGGUCCUUAGCUCGAGGAUCUGGGCUUCAUAGUUUUCCCACGCUUCUUUCUUCAUAGCAUUAAACCUCUCGAUAGUUUUCUCAAGGUCCUUGAUGACUCAGAACACUUGAUCUAACUUGUCAUUGCAGAAGUCUAGCUCAAAAUUAGCUCCUUGUAGAGCUCCA
rnacentral:lncRNA from 1 species